ensembl:misc_RNA Metazoa_SRP Metazoan signal recognition particle RNA
GCCGGGCAUGGUGGCUCAUGCCUGUAAUCCCAGCACUUUGGGAGGCCAAGGCGGGUGGAUCACCUGAGGUCAGGAGUUCAAGACCAGCCUGGCCAACAUGGUGAGACCCUGUCUCUA